AAAAAUAUUGGUUCAUUCAAUUUUUCCCUUAACAUAACUCAUUUGUUCCUGCUUCAAAAUUGUAACAUCAUUCUUUAGAAUAUAUUGCAAGAUCGAUUUUUUUUCAAGUUUUGUUUAUUAAUUAGUUAGAAAAUCUUUUAAGGUUGUUGUUGUGGUUACGUCCAUGCAUUCUUUAAAGAAAUUAAUUUUACGAACCAUGAACAAAAUAUUUGUAUGCACUUGAAAUCUAUCUCACAUAAUCACAUUGUUGUUGUUGAUUCCACAUAUUCCUAAUCAUACUAAGAUAUUGUAACUCAAAAAGAAAAGAACGAAGGGUAAGAAGUUGUAAAUGAUAUUCCUUACAUUUCACUAUUUUCUUUUUGAGUCGGUAAUAUAAGUCAUCUAUUUCUCGAGUGGACCGACAAUCGAGGAGAAAAUUCCCUCAGGAACACAUACUUUGUUUUCCAGCAACAAUAACUUCUUGUUUUAUUCAUUAAAAAAUUGUGUCUUCCUUCUAUUUUUAUUGCUAAAGUAAAUCAAAUUACAUUUUCCCUCGGAUAUCCUUAUGAACCGAGGAGAAACGUAACUGAAUUUUAUCUAAAAGAGUAAUAAGUUCAUUAAUUUUUUUCCUAAUUCUAACUUUUCUCCAGAGCAACAUUUGUUGUGUCAAGUAAUGUAGUUGGUUUUUGGAGUUAUUGACCAAAUCAAAUGACCAAAUGCUGCCAAUAACAUUUGUUGUUGUUGCGAGUGAAAUCAAAGAUUCAUGGAGUUGGUUUUUGGAGCUAUUGAUAUCUGAUUUGGGAGGUGUCAAAUUAUGCAAGACUUAUAAAUUUAUAAGUGAUCAACAAAAGCACUUGAUGAGUUGCUACCAGAGGUUGACCAAAGAUUUUGUGUUAGGUACUCAUACUUGUAUAAGUCAUAUUUGAUAUGUGAUAUUUGGAUACUUGAUAUGUGAUAUGUGAUAUUUCUGUAGACAUUUAUACAACAAUUUCAGAAAGAAGUUUGCAGGUGUUAAACUAAAGGAGUUGAUGUGGAAGGUUGCUACUGCUACUCAUGUAACUGCUUGGGAAAAAAUAAUGCGUGAAAUGAGAAGUGUUAAUGAAGAGGCAUUCAAGCACCUUUGGAAGAUUCCAUCAAGGUUCUGAAGCAAAUCAAGGUUUAGAACUAGUCCAAGGUGUGAUACUUUGGUGAACAACAUGUCAGAGGCAUUCAACUCAGUAUUUGUAGCUGGAAGAGCCAAGCCUAUUGUGGCUAUGAUUGAAGAAAUAAUAGUGUAUAUGAUACAAGGGUGGGAGUCCAACAGGAAGAAGAUUUCCAAAUAUUAUGAUAACAUUCUACCAAAUAUAAAAAAGAAAUUGAAAGGAAUCACAAAGAACAAAUAAUUGGAUUGUUAGAGAUUAAAGAUGAGCCAAGAAAGAAGCAAAAUCAUGCAGUUGAUCUUCUAAUACUCUAAACAGAUCCCCAGUCCAAGUUGAAAUAGCUUUUCAAAAAUGUUGUUGAUGAACUGAAAAAAAACAGACCCUUGCCCGGGCUAUUUUCAAAAAUGUUGUUAAUUAAUAAUAUUCAAUAUCACAUUUACUACUGGUAUUCAGAAAAAUCCAAAUCUCAAACUGUAA